rnacentral:tRNA from 1 species
GGCUCCAUAGUGUAGUUGUUAGCACAUACGCUUUACACGCAGAAGUCCUAGGUUCGCGCUCCAGGUGGAGCCA